rnacentral:rRNA from 1 species
CCUACGGGUGGCAGCAGUGAGGAAUAUUGGUCAAUGGUCGAGAGCCUGAACCAGCCAAGUCGCGUGCGGGAAGACGGUCCUAUGGAUUGUAAACCUCUUUUGCCGGGGAGCAAAAAGCGGUACGUGUACCGCAUCGAGAGUACCCGGAGAAAAAGCAUCGGCUAACUCCGUGCCAGCAGCCGCGGUAAUACGGAGGAUGCGAGCGUUAUCCGGAUGUAUUGGGUUUAAAGGGUGCGCAGGCGGCGUGCCAAGUCAGCGGUAAAAUCGCGGGGCUCAACCCCGACAAGCCGUUGAAACUGGCGUGCUAGAGAGGGCGAGAAGUAUGCGGAAUGCGUGGUGUAGCGGUGAAAUGCAUAGAUAGCACGCAGAACUCCGAUUGCGAAGGCAGCAUACCGGCGCCCAACUGACGCUCAGGCACGAAAGCGUGGGUAUCGAACAGGAUUAGAUACCCCAGUAGUC